rnacentral:sRNA from 1 species
AAGACUUUGGACGUCAGAGUCCUCUGGCCACACAGUACUGGUACAGGGACAGCACCAUCAAUAACAAUGAAAGCUUACCUACAGCCCAACUCUGAUAUGCCUCAGCUCUCAUCUAGAGGAACCACCUAAAAGUGAGAAAGUAGUUUAGCUUCCAUGACAUAUUCCACUCUCGGUCUCU